UGAGCAGGAAAGCAGGGGAUCGCAAGACCUUGCGCUGAUUGAGCGGCCGAUAUCAGAUUAGCUAGUUGGUGAGGUAAAGGCUCACCAAGGCGACGAUCUGUAGCGGGUCUGAGAGGAUGAUCCGCCACACUGGAACUGAGACACGGUCCAGACUCCUACGGGAGGCAGCAGUGGGGAAUUUUGGACAAUGGGGGCAACCCUGAUCCAGCCAUGCCGCGUGAGUGAAGAAGGCCUUCGGGUUGUAAAGCUCUUUCGGCCGGGAAGAAAUCGUAUGGGUUAAUACCCUGUGCGGAUGACGGUACCGGCAUAAGAAGCACCGGCUAACUACGUGCCAGCAGCCGCGGUAAUACGUAGGGUGCGAGCGUUAAUCGGAAUUACUGGGCGUAAAGCGUGCGCAGGCGGUUUUGUAAGACAGGCGUGAAAUCCCCGGGCUCAACCUGGGAACUGCGCUUGUGACUGCAAGGCUAGAGUAUGGCAGAGGGGGGUGGAAUUCCACGUGUAGCAGUGAAAUGCGUAGAGAUGUGGAGGAACACCAAUGGCGAAGGCAGCCCCCUGGGCCAAUACUGACGCUCAUGCACGAAAGCGUGGGUAGCAAACAGGAUUAGAUACCCUGGUAGUCCACGCCCUAAACGAUGUCAACUAGGUGUUGGGUGGGUAAAACCAUUUAGUACCGGAGCUAACGCGUGAAGUUGACCGCCUGGGGAGUACGGCCGCAAGGUUAAAACUCAAAGGAAUUGACGGGGACCCGCACAAGCGGUGGAUGAUGUGGAUUAAUUCGAUGCAACGCGAAAAACCUUACCUACCCUUGACAUGUCCAGGAGCCUGAAGAGACUUGGGUGUGCCCGAAAGGGAACUGGAACACAGGUGCUGCAUGGCUGUCGUCAGCUCGUGUCGUGAGAUGUUGGGUUAAGUCCCGCAACGAGCGCAACCCUUGUCGUUAAUCGCCAUCAUUUAGUUGGGCACUUUAACGAGACUGCCGGUGACAAACCGGAGGAAGGUGGGGAUGACGUCAAGUCCUCAUGGCCCUUAUGGGUAGGGCUUCACACGUCAUACAAUGGUCGGUACAAAGGGUUGCCAACCCGCGAGGGGGAGCCAAUCCCAGAAAGCCGAUCGUAGUCCGGAUCGCAGGCUGCAACUCGCCUGCGUGAAGUCGGAAUCGCUAGUAAUCGUGGAUCAGCAUGUCACGGUGAAUACGUUCCCGGGUCUUGUACACACCGCCCGUCACACCAUGGGAGCGGGUUCCGCCAGAAGUAGGUAGCCUAACCGCAAGGGGGGCGCUUACCACGGCGGGGUUCGUGACUGGGGUGAAGUCGGAACAAGGUA
rnacentral:rRNA from 1 species